UGUAACUUACAGGAAUUUGCUGAGA
rnacentral:piRNA from 1 species